rnacentral:lncRNA from 1 species
AAGGUAGGGGAAGAGCAACCUGUAGUUGCAAAUGGGCAAAGUUUUCUCUCAUGAAUUCCAACUUUCUCAUAUGGUAGGAGCAGGCAGAGGAAGAUAAAUCAAAAGACAGGACAAAGUACUAUUUAAUUACUGUUUUAAACUGUUUUUUGGGAAGUCUGACUAGGACUGUUGAUCUUGUCAUAGUCUUACUCAUGAUUCUGGUAUACUGACUGUUGUUACUGCCUUCGUGCUUUGCAGGCAUAGAGACCUACAAUCAAAGCACUAUAUAGAAGUAAAUACUAGUUGUAUAUGGACAGCUUUGCCAAAGUGGUUGAGGAACAGAGUUACCUCCUUCCUUUUCAGAAUCCAGAUAUAUCAAAUAACAUAGAUUUAGAAGGUUAUAGAUAUAUUUAUAUUUAAUACUGCUUAUUUUGGGUUCAUCRAGUUAUAUUCUGUAGCUAUUCUUACGAUAUGUGAAUUCUCUAUAUCUCUGGGUGAUAAUAUGAUGAAAAGUUUGUCCCACCCCUACAUUUAAGCAGUAAAUCCAUUGGAUGGAUGUGUCAAUGUGCUCUAGGAGGCAAAAACUUCUUCAGAUGUGUUUAAGGGGCAUCUACUAUGGUUUUGCCAUACACCUAAAUAUAUUAUUAAUAAUUAAAUAUAUUUUAAUAUAGGAAGUACAGUYGGAGGGCCAGAUCCAGGCUGCUUAUAUUGUUUGUAUUGCAGGUGUAAGCUCUGCUUUAACUGAGAGAAGAAAAACAAAUGACUGGAGUCGUAGGUUUGAACGCAAUGUGUUGCCAGCAGGUGGGCUGAGUAGUGGUAGGAUGCAUACCAUAUUAAUGGGGACCUUCCCAUUCUCCCGCCAURGACUUCCUGUUUUGGAGCCUGCAUCAUUUCUGAAGAAAAUGUGGAUCUAAGGCACAUAUACUUGACUAAAGUGUCUAGGAGAACAUGAAGAACUUCCUGCAGUCUGGACUUUUGCUUAAGGGAGGUUCAGGAUUUGGAAGGAUUCGGAAACAUUUGCCAUGGACGAGAAAACAGAAUGACAUAAUGAGCAUGAUUGAACUGAAAUGUGGACAACAAUGGGGGAACGCGUGGGCAAUAGAGCUGGAUAUGACUAAAAGUCAUUGCUGCAUGUGAGCAUGAACACAAUAUCACAGGAACAGAUAUGCUAAUUCAUUUUAUGUACAUAUGUCAUCUGCUGAGGAUGGAUGUGUGUGUUAGCCAUUGUGCUGCUGCUUCCAUGUUUUCUUGCACGUACACACUCCCUACCCAGUUAACAUGAUGGUGAUCAGCAUAGAAACAGUGCCAGAAAGUUAGUCUCAGAUAAAGCAGAUAUAUUAGUUAGGCUGCACUUCCAGACUGCGCUGGGAACAUGUUUGAUAUUCAUAUGUGUUACUAGCAUCCAUGUCUACUCUGUGGACUUAGUGUGAUGCAAUCUCUAUUACCUCCCUCAGAUACCAAGAUUUUGGUAACUGUUUUGUCGAUAGAAAAAUCCUGUAGGAUUCUUGAUAAUAAGAUGCAUCGUGUAUGGUACAGCAGAGUGGAGGAGGGUGAUUCAGUCACUCCUGUCAUUUAGUUUGCCUGCUGGCUCCCCAGUGACCAUAAAUUGUGCUUUCUAGCUCUUAGUUCAUAGUUGCCCAUUCUGAAAUUGAUGACUCUGCUCUAAGAUUUUAAUUUCACUAUUGCAAUGUGGUAUUCUAACCUGCAAUUCUUGAUAAACUGGAUUGUUGUUUUGCUUAACUCUUGCCAGCAUCUAAUAAGCUGGUGGCAUAGGGUUUUUUUUAGUGCAGCUUGGAACUAUUUGGCCCCAUUAAAUUGGGGGCUAGAGCUACAGUGGGWAGGGGUGUCCACUGGAUACUAACCUGGUUCUUCAGUGCUUUGCAGCUGGUUGCUUGCUGCUCUUAUUGAGGUGCCGGAGGAAGCAGAGUCCUCUUCUGUAUGCUAAUGACAGCACUGUUCUGCAGCCAAAAUUGCUGUUGUUUCUGUGUUUAUAUACUAUUUACAUACAGAUAUUCAGAUGUAUAGUUACUAUGCUCUGUUGUUGUUCAGGGGAUGAAUUUCAAACUGAAUCACAGACUUCACUGUCAGGUAAUAAACUAAGUUAGUUGAAUUACUGUCGAACA